GGUCCGUUCAUCUAUCGGUUAGGAUCUCUGGUUUUCAUCCAGGAAAGGGGGGUUCGAUUCCCCCACGGACUA
rfam:Flavobacterium frigoris strain DSM 15719 genome assembly, contig: Ga0131223_104